CUACUUACCUGGCAGGGAAGAAUCGGUGGGCACGAUGGCCGAACUCCCAGGACGUGACUAUCCCAUUACACUUCGGGGGUGCUGGUGCCUGAGAUGUUCCCAAAUGCACGAUACUCGACUGCAAAAUUUGUGGUAGUGAGGGACUGAUUUAUUCUUUU